rnacentral:rRNA from 1 species
AUCAUCGAAUCUUUGAACGCACAUAGCGCCUUUGGUAUUCCUUAGGGCAUACCUGUUCGAGCGUCA